UAAGUGACUAAGCGUACACGGUGGAUGCCUGGGCAGUCAGAGGCGAUGAAGGACGUACUAACUUGCGAUAAGCGCAGAUAAGGCAGUAAGAGCCGUUUGAGUCUGCGAUUUCCGAAUGGGGAAACCCAACUGCAUAAGCAGUUACUGUUAACUGAAUACAUAGGUUAACAGAGCAAACCGGGGGAACUGAAACAUCUAAGUACCCCGAGGAGAAGAAAUCAACCGAGAUUCCGGUAGUAGCGGCGAGCGAACCUGGAUUAGCCCUUAAGCACUCGGUGAAGUAGGUGAACAAGCUGGAAAGCUUAGCGAUACAGGGUGAUAGCCCCGUAACCGACGCUUCAUCGAGCGUGAAAUCGAGUAGGGCGGGACACGUGAUAUCCUGUCUGAAUAUGGGGGGACCAUCCUCCAAGGCUAAAUACUCCUGACUGACCGAUAGUGAACCAGUACCGCGAGGGAAAGGCGAAAAGAACCCCUGUGAGGGGAGUGAAAUAGAACCUGAAACCGUGUACGUACAAGCAGUAGGAGCACCUUCGUGGUGUGACUGCGUACCUUUUGUAUAAUGGGUCAGCGACUUAUAUUCAGUGGCAAGGUUAACCGUAUAGGGGAGCCGUAGCGAAAGCGAGUCUUAACUGGGCGCUCAGUCUCUGGAUAUAGACCCGAAACCGGGUGAUCUAGCCAUGGGCAGGUUGAAGGUUGAGUAACAUCAACUGGAGGACCGAACCGACUAAUGUUGAAAAAUUAGCGGAUGACUUGUGGCUAGGGGCGAAAGGCCAAUCAAACUCGGAGAUAGCUGGUUCUCCCCGAAAGCUAUUUAGGUAGCGCCUCGGACGAAUACUACUGGGGGUAGAGCACUGUUAAGGCUAGGGGGUCAUCCCGACUUACCAACCCUUUGCAAACUCCGAAUACCAGUAAGUACUAUCCGGGAGACACACGGCGGGUGCUAACGUCCGUCGUGGAGAGGGAAACAACCCAGACCGCCAGCUAAGGUCCCAAAGUAUUGCUAAGUGGGAAACGAUGUGGGAAGGCUCAGACAGCUAGGAUGUUGGCUUAGAAGCAGCCAUCAUUUAAAGAAAGCGUAAUAGCUCACUAGUCGAGUCGGCCUGCGCGGAAGAUGUAACGGGGCUAAGCAAUACACCGAAGCUGCGGCAAUAUCUUUUAGAUAUUGGGUAGGGGAGCGUUCUGUAAGCCGUUGAAGGUGAAUCGUAAGGUUUGCUGGAGGUAUCAGAAGUGCGAAUGCUGACAUGAGUAACGACAAAGGGGGUAAAAACCUCCUCGCCGGAAGACCAAGGGUUCCUGUCCAACGUUAAUCGGGGCAGGGUGAGUCGACCCCUAAGGUGAGGCCGAAAGGCGUAAUCGAUGGGAAACGGGUUAAUAUUCCCGUACUUCUGACUAUUGCGAUGGGGGGACGGAGAAGGCUAGGUGGGCCAGGCGACGGUUGUCCUGGUUCAAGUGCGUAGGCUUGAGAGUUAGGUAAAUCCGGCUCUCUCUAAGGCUGAGACACGACGUCGAGCUGCUACGGCAGUGAAGUCAUUGAUGCCAUGCUUCCAGGAAAAGCCUCUAAGCUUCAGAUAGUCAGGAAUCGUACCCCAAACCGACACAGGUGGUCGGGUAGAGAAUACCAAGGCGCUUGAGAGAACUCGGGUGAAGGAACUAGGCAAAAUGGUACCGUAACUUCGGGAGAAGGUACGCUCUUGAUGGUGAGGUCCCUCGCGGAUGGAGCUGACGAGAGUCGCAGAUACCAGGUGGCUGCAACUGUUUAUUAAAAACACAGCACUGUGCAAAAUCGCAAGAUGACGUAUACGGUGUGACGCCUGCCCGGUGCCGGAAGGUUAAUUGAUGGGGUUAGCGCAAGCGAAGCUCUUGAUCGAAGCCCCGGUAAACGGCGGCCGUAACUAUAACGGUCCUAAGGUAGCGAAAUUCCUUGUCGGGUAAGUUCCGACCUGCACGAAUGGCGUAAUGAUGGCCACGCUGUCUCCACCCGAGACUCAGUGAAAUUGAAAUCGCUGUGAAGAUGCAGUGUACCCGCGGCUAGACGGAAAGACCCCGUGAACCUUUACUACAGCUUGGCACUGAACAUUGAACCUACAUGUGUAGGAUAGGUGGGAGGCUAUGAAGACGUGACGCCAGUUGCGUUGGAGCCGUCCUUGAAAUACCACCCUUGUAUGUUUGAUGUUCUAACUUAGACCCAUUAUCUGGGUUGAGGACAGUGCCUGGUGGGUAGUUUGACUGGGGCGGUCUCCUCCCAAAGAGUAACGGAGGAGCACGAAGGUGGGCUAAUCACGGUUGGACAUCGUGAGGUUAGUGCAAUGGCAUAAGCCCGCUUAACUGCGAGAAUGACGGUUCGAGCAGGUGCGAAAGCAGGUCAUAGUGAUCCGGUGGUUCUGUAUGGAAGGGCCAUCGCUCAACGGAUAAAAGGUACUCCGGGGAUAACAGGCUGAUACCGCCCAAGAGUUCAUAUCGACGGCGGUGUUUGGCACCUCGAUGUCGGCUCAUCACAUCCUGGGGCUGAAGUCGGUCCCAAGGGUAUGGCUGUUCGCCAUUUAAAGUGGUACGCGAGCUGGGUUUAGAACGUCGUGAGACAGUUCGGUCCCUAUCUGCCGUGGGCGUUGGAAGAUUGAAGGGGGCUGCUCCUAGUACGAGAGGACCGGAGUGGACGAACCUCUGGUGUUCGGGUUGUGUCGCCAGACGCAUUGCCCGGUAGCUAAGUUCGGAAUUGAUAAGCGCUGAAAGCAUCUAAGCGCGAAGCGAGCCCUGAGAUGAGUCUUCCCUGACAGUUUAACUGUUCUAAAGGGUUGUUCGAGACUAGAACGUUGAUAGGCAGGGUGUGUAAGCGUUGUGAGGCGUUGAGCUAACCUGUACUAAUUGCCCGUGAGGCUUAACCA
rnacentral:rRNA from 1 species